UCACCACUCAAGCCUGGCUUGGUGUUGGGCGACGUCCCCUUUGGGGACGCGCCUCGAAACGCUCGGCGGCGUGGCACCGGCUCAGAAUCUUUCGCUUUGAAAGUCGGGGCCCCGUCUGCCGGAAGACCUACUCGCAAGGUUGACCUCGGAUCAGGCAGGGAUACCCGCUGAACUUAAGCAUAUCAAUAGCGGAGGAAAAGAAACCAACAGGGAUUGCCUCAGUAACGGCGAGUGAAGCGGCAACAGCUCAAAUUUGAAAUCUGGCUCUUUUAGGGUCCGAGUUGUAAUUUGUAGAGGAUGCUUCGGCGUCGGCUCCGGUCUAAGUUCCUUGGAACAGGACGUCAUAGAGGGUGAGAAUCCCGUAUGUGAUCGGUUGCCCUUGCCAUGUGAAGCUCCUUCGACGAGUCGAGUUGUUUGGGAAUGCAGCUCUAAAUGGGAGGUAAAUUUCUUCUAAAGCUAAAUACUGGCCAGAGACCGAUAGCGCACAAGUAGAGUGAUCGAAAGAUGAAAAGCACUUUGGAAAGAGAGUCAAAAAGUACGUGAAAUUGUUGAAAGGGAAGCGCUUGCAACCAGACCUGCCUGCAGUUGCUCAUCCGGGCUUUUGCCCGGUGCACUCUUCUGCUGUCAGGCCAGCAUCAGCUCGGGCGGUCGGAUAAAGGCUUCGGGAAUGUAGCUCCUCUCGAGGAGUGUUAUAGCCCGUUGCGAAAUGCGGCCAGCCUGAACUGAGGUCCGCGCUUCGGCUAGGAUGCUGGCGUAAUGGUUGUAAGCGGCCCGUCUUGAAACACGGACC
rnacentral:rRNA from 1 species